rnacentral:rRNA from 1 species
UAGGGAAUCUUCGGCAAUGGGGGGAACCCUGACCGAGCAACGCCGCGUGAGUGAAGAAGGUUUUCGGAUCGUAAAGCUCUGUUGUUAAGGAAGAACGAGUGUGAGAAUGGAAAGUUCAUGCUGUGACGGUACUUAACCAGAAAGGGACGGCUAAUUACGUGCCAGCAGCCGCGGUAAUACGUAAGGUCCGAGCGUUGUCCGGAAUCAUUGGGCGUAAAGGGUACGUAGGCGGGUAAGCAAGUUAGAAGUGAAAUCCUAUAGCUCAACUAUAGUAAGCUUUUAAAACUGCUCAUCUUGAGGUAUGGAAGGGAAAGUGGAAUUCCUAGUGUAGCGGUGAAAUGCGCAGAUAUUAGGAGGAAUACCGGUGGCGAAGGCGACUUUCUGGCCAUAACCUGACGCUGAGGUACGAAAGCGUGGGUAGCAAACAGG